rnacentral:rRNA from 1 species
UACAGAGGGGGCAAGCGUUGUUCGGAUUUACUGGGCGUAAAGGGCGCGUAGGCGGUCAGCACAAGUCAGUUGUGAAAUCUUCGGGCUUAACUCGGAAAGGUCAACUGAUACUGUGCGACUAGAGUGCAGAAGGGGCAACUGGAAUUCUCGGUGUAGCGGUGAAAUGCGUAGAUAUCAGGAGGAACACCGGUGGCGAAGGCGGCUAUCUGGACAGAAACUGACGCUGAGGCGCGAAAAGCUAGGGGAGCAAACAGG